rnacentral:rRNA from 1 species
AGAGUUUGAUCCUGGCUCAGGAUGAACGCUAGCGAUAGGCUUAACACAUGCAAGUCGAGGGGCAGCAUGGUCUUAGCUUGCUAAGACUGAUGGCGACCGGCGCACGGGUGCGUAACGCGUAUGCAACUUGCCUCACAGAGGGGGAUAACCCGUCGAAAGACGGACUAAUACCGCGUACACUCCAGUCUGGGCAUCCAGGCUAGAGGAAAUGAAUUUCGCUGUGAGAUAGGCAUGCGUCCCAUUAGCUAGUUGGUGAGGUAACGGCUCACCAAGGCGACGAUGGGUAGGGGAACUGAGAGGUUGAACCCCCACACUGGUACUGAGACACGGACCAGACUCCUACGGGAGGCAGCAGUGAGGAAUAUUGGUCAAUGGGCGAGAGCCUGAACCAGCCAAGUCGCGUGAAGGAUGACUGUCUUAUGGAUUGUAAACUUCUUUUGUAGGGGAAUAAAGAACAGUACGUGUACUGUAGUGAAUGUACCCUACGAAUAAGCAUCGGCUAACUCCGUGCCAGCAGCCGCGGUAAUACGGAGGAUGCGAGCGUUAUCCGGAUUUAUUGGGUUUAAAGGGUGCGUAGGCGGCCUGUUAAGUCAGCGGUGAAAUCUAGGAGCUUAACUCCUAAAUUGCCAUUGAUACUGGCGGGCUUGAGUGUAGAUGAGGUAGGCGGAAUGCGUGGUGUAGCGGUGGAAUGCAUAGAUAUCACGCAGAACUCCAAUUGCGAAGGCAGCUUACUAAGGUACAACUGACGCUGAAGCACGAAAGCGUGGGUAUCAAACAGGAUUAGAUACCCUGGUAGUCCACGCAGUAAACGAUGAUAACUGGGCGUAUGCGAUAUACAGUAUGCUCCUAAGCGAAAGCGUUAAGUUAUCCACCUGGGGAGUACGCCGGCAACGGUGAAACUCAAAGGAAUUGACGGGGGCCCGCACAAGCGGAGGAACAUGUG